rnacentral:misc_RNA from 1 species
GUAGGUGAACCUGCGGAAGGAUCAUUAAUCCAGGCGUGAGCCCUCCCUCGGGGGGGUGAGCGCCGCCUUUAUACCAACCCUUUGCCUAUAGUACCUUUAUUGCUUCCUCGGCAGGCCCGCCUGCCGCCAGGAACCAACCAAACCCUUUGCAUUAUACACGAAAACUUCUGAUACAAACCUAAAUUAUUACAACUUUUAACAAUGGAUCUCUUGGUUCUG